GUUAUCUUCAGCAGCACAUAUACUAAAAUAAGAACAUACAGAGAAGAUUAGCAUGGCCUCAGCACAAGGAUGACACACAAAUUUGUGAAGCAUUCCAAAUUUUU